rnacentral:rRNA from 1 species
AUUGAACGCUGGCGGCAUGCCUUACACAUGCAAGUCGAACGGUAACAGGUCUUCGGAUGCUGACGAGUGGCGGACGGGGGCGUAAUACAUCGGAACGUGCCCGAUCGUGGGGGAUAACGGAGCGAAAGCUUUGCUCAUACCGCAUACGAUCUACGGAUGAAAGCAGGGGACCUCAAGAGCUUGCGCGGACGGUGCGGCCGAUGGCAGAUUAGGUAGUUGGUGGGAUAAAAGCUUACCAAGCCGACGAUCUGUAGCUGGUCUGAGAGGACGACCGGCCACACUGGGACUGAGACACGGCCCAGACUCCUACGGGAGGCAGCAGUGGGGAAUUUUGGACAAUGGGCGAAAGCCUGAUCCAGCCAUGCCGCGUGCAGGAUGAAGGUCUUCGGGUUGUAAAAUGCUUUUGUACGGAACGAAAAGACUCUUACUAAUAAAGAGGGUCCAUGACGGUACCGUAAGAAUAAGCACCGGCUAACUACGUG